rnacentral:rRNA from 1 species
GAUGAACGCUGGCGGCGUGCCUAAUACAUGCAAGUCGAGCGAACAGAUGAGGAGCUUGCUCCUCUGACGUUAGCGGCGGACGGGUGAGUAACACGUGGAUAACCUACCUAUAAGACUGGGAUAACUUCGGGAAACCGGAGCUAAUACCGGAUAAUAUAUUGAACCGCAUGGUUCAAUAGUGAAAGACGGUUUUGCUGUCACUUAUAGAUGGAUCCGCGCCGCAUUAGCUAGUUGGUAAGGUAACGGCUUACCAAGGCAACGAUGCGUAGCCGACCUGAGAGGGUGAUCGGCCACACUGGAACUGAGACACGGUCCAGACUCCUACGGGAGGCAGCAGUAGGGAAUCUUCCGCAAAGGGCGAAAGCCUGACGGAGCAACGCCGCGUGAGUGAUGAAGGUCUUCGGAUCGCAAAACUCUGUUAUUAGGGAAGAACAAAUGUGUAAGUAACUAUGCACGUCUUGACGGUACCUAAUCAGAAAGCCACGGCUAACUACGUG